ACCUACGGGAGGCAGCAGUGGGGAAUAUUGCACAAUGGGGGAAACCCUGAUGCAGCCAAGUCGCGUGAGGGAAGACGGUCCUAUGGAUUGUAAACCUCUUUUGCCGAGGAGCAAAAAGCGGUACGUGUACCGCAUCGAGAGUACCCGGAGAAAAAGCAUCGGCUAACUCCGUGCCAGCAGCCGCGGUAAUACGGAGGAUGCGAGCGUUAUCCGGAUUUAUUGGGUUUAAAGGGUGCGCAGGCGGUCUGUUAAGUCAGCGGUCAAAGCCCGGGGCUCAACCCCGGCCCGCCGUUGCAACUGGCAGG
rnacentral:rRNA from 1 species